rnacentral:lncRNA from 1 species
CCUGGCUUCAAGUCCUGCCUCUGCCACAAAAUGGCUGUGUGACCCUGGGUAUGUUUUAUGACCUCUCGGUGGCCCCAGGCAACUCUCUUAAGUUGCAGAGAAGGUGCUGACCUGCAUUGGUAAAGAGAAUUUCUUCAACAGGGAUUUCCCUUUAUGAAUGAAAUGACAGCUCUAAUCCCUAUCCCUAAAUACUACAAAACUUGGAGAAAUUAUCAUGUAUAUGGUGUUUUUCCCUGUUUUCACCUAUUGCUGACAUAUGUGAACUUCCUCAGGACCUUCAAAUAUCUACAGUUCCUAGAGCCCCCAGAAUUCUGCCUGCAAAUGAAAGUCUCUAUUCUUCCCUGUAGGCAGUCCUAUUUGGAAGAGCCUCAAGCUGAGGACCCAACUUCACUAUCCAGCCCUUUCCUUCCCCUCCUCACUGGCUCCACCCUCCACCUGCAGCUACAGGCAAUCUUUGAUACAUGUACAAGAUCUCACUAGUACAAGAGCCAGGAAAGGCCACCUGUAGAAGAUGAGAUUUCAUCUGGGUCUUGAAGGAAGCCAAGGAAAUAAGGAGAUUAAGGUGAGGAGGGAGAGCCUUGCAGUUAUAGAAACAUCCCCUGAACAAUGAUAGAAUCUAGAGAUGAUGUGUUAAGACCACUAAGAAGUAUAAGGAAGAAGGGUGGCUAGGGGGCUCAGCGGAUGGAGAGCCAGGUCUGGAAAUGGGAGGUCCUGGGUUCAAAUUUGAUCUCAGACACUUUCUAGUGUGACCUGGGCAAGUCACUUAAUCCCAAUUGCCUAGCCCUUGCUGCUCUUCUGCUUGGAACCAACACUUAGUAUUGAUUCUAAGGCAGAAGUAUGGGUUUUUAAAAUGUAUGCAAGGAACAGGAGAAGCAGAGCAUAAAAGGAGGGGAAGAAGUAAGAUGCAGGGAAUCUCCCUACCAGAGCAAAGAGAGUUUUCAACCUUAAUAUUCAGAACAUUUGGAAUUUCCCAUGAAUUUUCAUCUUUUCCCUAUACAGUGAUGAGCCAAUACAAUCAAGGGCCAGAAGUCUCUCUCUCUUCAUUAAGUUGUCUAAGAGAAAAAUAACUCCUUGAAGGAUCCAAACUCAUCACCAGAUAUGAUCUGAGUAACUAUAGUAAAAGGGAUGCUUGAGAGUAAGGGAGAACUAAAUUUCCUAGGAUGCCUGGGUCCAGAGGACAAAAACUCAGAGGAUAAAAAUAAACUCUAAUUCCUGUGAGAUGUAUCUGCCA